rnacentral:rRNA from 1 species
UACGGAGGGUGCAAGCGUUAUCCGGAUUCACUGGGUUAAAGGGUGCGUAGGUGGGAAUGUAAGUCAGUGGUGAAAUCUCCGUGCUUAACAUGGAAACUGCCAUUGAUACUAUGUUUCUUGAAUUUUCUGGAGGUCAGCGGAAUAUGUCAUGUAGCGGUGAAAUGCUUAGAUAUGACAUAGAACACCAAUUGCGAAGGCAGCUGACUACAGGGACAUUGACACUGAGGCACGAAAGCGUGGGGAUCAAACAGG